AAUCUACAUACAUACGAUAUAUUUGUUCUACGUAUGAUUGCGUAUGCGAUUGCGACUGCGUUUGCGAUACUUUGUUUAGCAAGCGAUAGCGAUGGCGAUAACUAAUAAUCAGUUCGAUCAACUAGCAUAGAGUUACAAGUACUAAGAGUGAAUACACAAAUAGCUACAAUUAAUAAAGCUUAAUUACACGCGUUGAUAAAAGCAUACACACACACACACAGGCAGACAGAGUGAGUUAUUGGGAUGCGGGGCUGGGUAUCAAUUAAUUGCUAUCAUACACAAUUACGAGUGGGAGCAUGGUUACAUAGAGGGAGAGAAGCAACAAGCAGCAGUAGGCGGCUUGUUAAACCUAGCGCGCAUUAAGUUUUUUACAUUCAAUGUUCUCUUCCUUCUUGCUGGCUGAUUGUGAUUGUGUGAGUGUGAGUGUGUAAUUGAAAGCAAAAGCAACAAGUGCAUCAGUCAUUGGCUUCGUAUGCCUUUAGCUAUGCGUGCAUUACAUUGUUUUUGCUUUUGCUAUGUUCUUCUCUCAUUGUAUACAUGUGUGAGUGGAGCUGGAAGUAAAAGCAACAAGUAGCAGCGCAGCGCAGCAGCAGCCGGUGACUCGGCUCCAGCCUUUCACUGUGCAUGCAUUAGUUUCUUUUUACUUUUGCAAUGCUCUCGCUCUCUUUCUUAUUGUCUCUGAUGUGUGAGUGUGUUGGAGUAAAGUAACAUCAUCACCAUCAGCUGAUGCCAUGUUUCAAUUACUAUGGAAUUAUUUGCUUGGUUUCAAACAAAACUACCGCUGAGUCGAUCCCACUCACCUGCGUCCAGGUCACUACUAUCACCAUUACCAUCAUUGGCAUUCAGCUGUGAUCGCUGCUCAGAGUCAGCAACGUCUUCUUCAACAAUAUUACCUGUCGACGAGGGCGUAUUCUUGCAGCCGAACCACCAGUGCGCCGUGGGCCUUGGGAAUGGCGGCGUUGCCGUAUCCACCUGUUCAAAAGAGAUCGGCAUUCCUAUGUUAGGAAACUCUUAGAUUACUAUUAGAUUAUAUUCUAUAGACUGUAAAAAUUCUUAGUGAAGUUCAACUUACCGCGAAGCGUGCGUCGUGGAAGCGAUAGUACUUGUCGCCCUUGAAGAAGUACGUGUAGCCAUUUGUGUAUUUGAGCGCUGCAUCCAGAUUGUUUGGCACGCCCUCCCAGUUGGAGAUGGGCUUGGGGUAGCUGGCCUUAACGGGUGGUCGUUUAGCCGGAUCGAAUCGCCAGAACUUGCUGCCCUUGAAGAAGUAGAUCUUGCCGUUGCCACCCCAGACCAUAGCCGCAUCCAAAUGAUCGGGAAUGCCAGUGAAGCCUUCGCUAAUCUCCUUGGGAUAUGCGCCAUCCAUUUGGCUGCCCUGGUAGCGCCAGUACUGAGUACCCUUGAAGAAGUAGGUCUUGCCAUUCUUGUACGUAAAGGCUGCAUCGAUGUUGCCGGGCAAUCCGGGCCAGCCCUUCGAUAUGAGUUGUGGGUAGCCCUCCUCCACGGAGUCCGUCGUCAGCUUGUAGUACUUGUCGCCCUUGAAGGCGAAGGUCUCGCCAUGCGCCGAGUUGAACAGGGUGUCGAUCUUGGAGUCCUUGCAAAUGGAGUCGUCCAGCGGCACCUUUGGUGGCGUAUACGAGGGUCUGUGUGUGCUAGGCGGGUAGGCGUUGGUGGGCGUGUACUGAUUGGUCUUGCGACCGUAGAGCGAUUGUAUAGCCGCCUUGUCGUCCUCAUCCAGUUUGAAGACAGGCUCAAAGCCGCGAUAGAAGGGCGCCAUCAGAGCUGAGCUCUGAUCCGAAUGCGAGAGUCCCAAGGAGUGACCGAAUUCGUGAGCAGCUACCUGGAAGAGAUUGGUGCCACGUGGCGAGCCUAUGGUCCACAGUUCCGCAUCAUCAAAAUGAGCAUCGCCGCCAAAGACGGGGAAGAAGGCGUGAGCCAAGGUGCCGCCUUGUCCAUCGAAGGGAUCGCCAUCACCAUGCUCGCUCUCAACGAAUCUGGUGAAAAGGAAGAGGGACAAAGAGAGAGAGAGAGACAUGGAGAGUAAAUGAGAGAUGAGCUAUGUUUUCUUUCUUCUCCUUUCUCAAACACUUACUUAAUCUCAAUAUGCACGGGUCCCGAUGUCUUCCUGGUGAAAGUUAGAUCGGUGUCCUCGCUCCAGACGGCAAAGGCGCGCGCGAUUUCGGCAUCGACAUCGUUGCGCUUCAAGCGCUUGGGAUACUUGGAGAUCUUGUAGGUGAGAUUCUUCACCCGCCAGCGACUGCCCUGUAGAGCAUAACGCUUUGCGCGACUAUCUCCAGUGCCCACGCGAUCUCGGACACCGCAACGUGGCAAUGACAUCAGCUUCAGAGUCUCUUCAUCCAGUUCACCGGUGAUAUUCAAGCCGGCAAAGCUCUGGAACUCCUCGAUAGCGCUGACCCAUGUGUGCUUAUCCUGCAGUCCGCUGUUGGCAGGAUUACGCGCUGAGGCGGGCAGGUAGCCGAACUGUGAGAGAUACAUCUGAAAAGAUGGAAGACGGAAGACGGACAAUGAGAUUCCUGAAUUUUAGUCAGCUGGGACAGCUGCUAAGCCUCUGUCCAGUCAAGAUCAAUGUCUUGUGCCAGUUGCCAACAAGGUGGCCCCUGAUUUAUGGCUAUCAGAUAAGGCACGUUUUGCCUGCCUUGUAAUUGUCCUGCGAAGAGAGUUAGUUAACUGCCUGAGGAACUCAUUCGUCAUUCGUCACAUUUCUUGCGCGUAUGCAGAAAAAAAAGAAGAAGAAGAAAACAAUCCACAACAAAAAACUAUCUGACUUGCAUAAUUUAUGACCCAGCACUUUGGCAUGGCAAUGUUUUAUAAUAUUGUACAAGAGACGAACACCCCUAGACCCCGGCCCCCCGACUGCCCCCGUACCCAACUGUGGGAUGGGCCAGACUUGGCGUAUGCUCAAAUACUUAGAGCGAAUCACAGUUACGUGACUUUAAUUAUGCGAUUCGAGGUGUGAAAAAAAUAUCACAGAGUCGAGCCGAGACGAGACGAGACGAGCUGAGCUGAGCUGAGACGACUUUUGAGUCGAGUCAAGUUAAGGAAGUGUUUUCUUCUCUCUUUAUUUGAUGGCAAUUCAGUUAAUUGGUAACUGCAGGUCGUUCAACUCAAGUGAGCUGCCAAGCUGAUUGCAAGUCCCUGGAGAAUCGCUGUAAACAAAUAAGAAAACAAUCAGAAUCAAGUGCGACAGGCACUUAACUGGCUCCCAUUGUCCAUCAUAAAGAGCGCUAAAGUGGGCGUGGGCGUGGAUGGCAGUGCCCUGCCCGCCCCAAGGGUCUUCCCGCUUCCGCCUUUGGGGCACACCCCACA